GUUGAGUUAUGUGACAGGCUUCUGUAAAACUGCGUGUAGUGAAUAGUCCGUAAAAGGAGUAGACAGACUUCUAUGACCACUCCUUUCCUUUCUGACCUCCUUCCACAAAGAAUAAUCCCUAAUCUCAUAUAAUCCGCACUGUUGGUUGUAGAGAGAGCCGACUGCCAUUCACUGCGAGUUUAGCAUGACAUCAUAUACAAAGAGCGAGAUGGACAAUUAUCAAGCAUACGAAAAUCUACAACACAAUCAGCGAAGGAGGAUGCAGCUCCAGAACGAUCUUCAGUCACAACAAAGAAGUCAUCGCCUUAGCAGGGCUGCCUGGCUGCAGGGCCGCUGGUUGGAGAUCAGUGAGCAGGAACGCAGAGCUCAUAUUCAUAACUAAAAACUCCUGCAGGACUUUCAGAGAGCAGAAGACACACUCAGCGACAUGGUGGCCCGUACCGAAGCCAUGAACAUCAUACGGGUCAGCAACCAUAUGACUUCUGCUAUUUAUAAUGUAAAACAGCAGCACUGUGGGAAUAAUAUGUUCUAAAAUGCCUUUAGUGCAGCAUUACUGUUAAAGUGUGUCUUCCUUGGAGAAUUCACACAUACCCUUAAAGUCAGCAUCAGGCAGGCUUUUUCUAUAUAUUUGCAGCCUAAAAUGACUGGUUUUAUUUGCUUCAAUUCUUGUGUUUUUCAGCAAAAAUAUUCCCAAAUCUUGAAGAGACAGGUCAGGUUUAGGAAGGUUACUUUUACUGAAUGUAUUUCACUGCAGAUUACAAAAUCACAAAUGCUUUGCAGGUGUGACUGUAAGAUGAUUCCCUAUUUAAAAUGUAACUAAUGUGAUGAAAUAAAGAUGGUCAUGUUUUAUUAUGAUCAAGUUACAUGCAUACGGUUGUUUCCCAACCCUGGUCAGCAUAAGUCACACACAAUUGCAGCAAAUAUCAAUGGUCAACAAUGAAAUAAAUUGACUUUUUUUGUUAAUUUUCUAGAAACUAUUUCACUGAGUCACAAAAGUGAAUUCCAUCUCAAUUUCCCUUUCAUAUGCAGCCUUUAUCUAAGGGAUAAUCAGUUGUUCUCAUAAAAUAAAACCCAAUAGGCGUUUUAGACUUGUUGUAAAAUACAAGGGCUUAAUUCGGUGAAAACAACCACCCAGGUAGCAAAGAAUUCUGGCCCAUAUUUGGCAUAAAUCUGGC